GAAUUACUGAACGAUUCCUAUUGAAACCUUAAUAAAUAGAAUUAGUUCCCUUAAAAAAAGUUUUGUAUAUUUGUAAAUUAUUGACAAUAUUAUCUAAGUACUGUAAAACUGCAGAACAGUCAGUCAAAAUUAACAUAAAAAAAUAUUUAUAAAAAUUUUAAUUCGUUUUUUCGUGAGUAACGGGUAUCUGAUAAUCGACUAUAACAUUCUCUCUGUUGUAUUAGUGGUUCGGAUAAUGAAAUUGUCUUAUUUCUCAGACCCAUCCUUAAAGGAAUCACACAAGACGCCACAAUUGAUUUAGGGCAUCAUUGUGGACAUUAUUUACAAAAAAAGAACACAAAAUUUAUGUACUACAAUUGUAUUACAUUAAUUUAUACUUUUUUAGUCAUAAAGCCAACAUCCGGGACGACAAAAAGUACUUUAAGUAUUAAGUGACUUAAUUGUGGACUCCCACUAAUCAAAAAUAUAUGUUAAAAAUCAACCAAGAUAAGGAAAGGAUAAAUCAUAAGAAUUCCUUCGUUUAAUACGACCUUCCGAAAAAUAAUUGUGAAGUUCCCCAACAUGUAAUUUGGAGCACACCUAGCCCUUCCAACCUUGGAUUGGCACAGAUGAAUUUGUAGACAUUUGCAGUCUUAUGCUGAAGACAAUGUCGUGGUGUAAUAUUUAGUAGAAACGCUAUCGUGCCUCUAUUUUACCCAUGGCUGCAAUCUUUAACAAAUAAGAAGUAUACAUAUACGCCAACGAUAUUUAAAGAAUAUAAAACCAUUUUUAUGAUCGACAUUUUACAUUUAAUUUAAGAACAUCUAACUUUAGUUGUAACGCUUCCGGUGUUGUAUGCAUAACUUCUUACAUUUGGUCAUUCUAAUCAUCGAAGCUAGAAGAUAGCAAAAAAUUAGCUGCUUGUUCCUCGUUCUUUU